UACGUAGGUGGCAAGCGUUGUCCGGAUUUACUGGGCGUAAAGGAUGCGUAGGUGGAUAUUUAAGUGGGAUGUGAAAUACCCGAGCUCAACUUGGGUGCUGCAUUCCAAACUGGAUAUCUAGAGUGCAGGAGAGGUAAGUGGAAUUCCUAGUGUAGCGGUGAAAUGCGUAGAGAUUAGGAAGAACACCAGUGGCGAAGGCGACUUACUGGACUGUAACUGACACUGAGGCAUGAAAGCGUGGGGAGCAAACAGGA
rnacentral:rRNA from 1 species